rnacentral:rRNA from 1 species
GACGAACGCUGGCGGCGUGCUUAACACAUGCAAGUCGAACGGUGAAGCGCCUUCCUUUUUGGUGGGUGUGGAUGAGUGGCGAACGGGUUAGUAACACGUUAGUAACCUGCUCCCUCCUUCUGGAUAACCGCAUGAAAGUGUGGCUAAUACGGGAUAUUCUGGGUCUGUCGCAUGAUGGGUCUGGGAAAGAUAUUGUUUCGGUUGGGGAUGGGCUCGCGGCCUAUCAGCUUGUUGGUGGGGUGAUGGCCUACCAAGGCGGCGACGCGUGGCCGGCCUGAGAGGGUGGACCGCCAAGGGAAGAGUGAGACGCGGCGCAGACUGAGGGGGGGCGCAGCAGGGGGAAAUACGGAAAAGGGGGCACGAGGCUGAUGCAGCGACGCCGCGGGAGAGAAGGACCUCUGCGGGUUAAAGACCUCUUUUGGGGAAGAAGCAGGGUGUCCUUGAUUGUGCGCGGGUUGACGGUAGCUGAAUAAAAAGCCACGGCUAACUACGUG